UUGAGCGAGCUCCGCCCUUAGCCUCGAUUCGCAGGCCAAGGCCUUGUGAAGCUAUUACGCCCUGUUUUGUCCACUAGAACUUGAGCAAAAUCACAAUUCGAGAAUGUUGACUUACAGCUUUUUAAACCUUAUACUUCUAGUAAGUAUAACAGUAGCACAAGAUCAAUGUCCUCUUGGGACCUACUGUGGUAGAGCAUGCUGCUUACCACUUAUUCAGCGAUGUUGUGCAACGUCUAAUGACCCUACUAAUCCUUUGCUCACAUGCUGUACGGCUGACUCUACCAACGUUGUUGCAACUUGUGGCACUUUUCAAUGCCCCAACAGCCUACCACCUGAGGAAGUGUACGACACAGCAGUGACAGUCACUACCGGUGAAGCAGCGCAGUUACGAAACCAGUGUUGCAUGUACUUCAGAGAAGGAUGUUGCAGCCAGAGUGAAAACAACUUUCUAGAUUUGCUAUACAAGUUGGCACUUGGUCUGGGAAUUGGACUCGGUGGUUUGCUAGUGAUCAUCCUGAUACUGGUGGUGUGUUGUUGCUGCUGUGCAGUAUGUAGUUAGCCGUAGCUGAGCUGUUUUAUGUUAUCCUGAUCCUGUGGUGUACAUGUUGCUGCUAAUGUUUUUAAAGUGUAGUUGUAUUAGUAUAUUUAGAGUACAUACGACAAUAAUUGACUAUGUUUUGUGUCAAAAAUUAGUUUCUCAUGUUUA